rnacentral:rRNA from 1 species
UACGGAGGAUGCGAGCGUUAUCCGGAUUUAUUGGGUUUAAAGGGUGCGUAGGCGGACUGUCAAGUCAGCGGUAAAAUUGAGAGGCUCAACCUCUUCCCGCCGUUGAAACUGGUGGUCUUGAGUGGAUGAGAAGUACGCGGAAUGCGCGGUGUAGCGGUGAAAUGCAUAGAUAUCACGCAGAACUCCGAUUGCGAAGGCAGCGUACCAGCAUCCAACUGACGCUGAGGCACGAAAGCGUGGGGAUCAAACAGG